rnacentral:rRNA from 1 species
GGUGAACGCUGGCGGUAGGCCUAACACAUGCAAGUCGAACGGCAGCACAGUAAGAGCUUGCUCUUACGGGUGGCGAGUGGCGGACGGGUGAGGAAUACAUCGGAAUCUACUUUUUCGUGGGGGAUAACGUAGGGAAACUUACGCUAAUACCGCAUACGACCUACGGGUGAAAGCAGGGGAUCUUCGGACCUUGCGCGAUUGAAUGAGCCGAUGUCGGAUUAGCUAGUUGGCGGGGUAAAGGCCCACCAAGGCGACGAUCCGUAGCUGGUCUGAGAGGAUGAUCAGCCACACUGGAACUGAGACACGGUCCAGACUCCUACGGGAGGCAGCAGUGGGGAAUAUUGGACAAUGGGCGCAAGCAUGAUCCAGCCAUACCGCGUGGGUGAAGAAGGCCUUCGGGUUGUAAAGCCCUUUUGUUGGGAAAGAAAAGAAGCAGGUUAAUACCCCGCUGUUCUGACGGUACCCAAAGAAUAAGCACCGGCUAACUUCGUG